GCCGUCGUCGACCAGUGGCAGGUCACCUUCACGCAUUUCCAGAUAGAAUUUGCGUCAGAAGGAGCUCGGGGGUUCGACUCCCCCCGACGGCA